rnacentral:rRNA from 1 species
GUGCCAGCAGCCGCGGUAAUACGUAGGUGGCAAGCGUUGUCCGGAUUUAUUGGGCGUAAAGCGAGCGCAGGUGGUUUCUUAAGUCUGAUGUGAAAGCCCACGGCUCAACCGUGGAAGGUCAUUGGAAACUGGGGAACUUGAAUGCAGAAGAGGAGAGUGGAAUUCCAUGUGUAGCGGUGAAAUGCGUAGAUAUAUGGAGGAACACCAGUGGCGAAGGCGACUCUCUGGUCUGUUAUUGACACUGAGGCUCGAAAGCGUGGGGAGCGAACAGGAUUAGAUACCCCCGUAGUCC